AAGAAAGUUCCAUGCUUCCUUGCAUUCGGUAGUAAUGUUGAGCAUAUGGAAUGUAAAGAAGUAUGGAGCACUCUG
rnacentral:pre_miRNA from 1 species